GGGGGCGCGGCCGCAGCGUCCAGUCAGUGCUGGGGUGGGGGGGGGCACUCGGCCUUGUGAGCGCCGGCUUCCGGUUCCCGCCCGCCCGCAGCCGGCCCUUCCGGUCACAGCGCGCGAGCACGUCGGAGCACACUCGCGGGGACGCCCACCGGCCGCUUCCGGUGCCGGCACGGGGACCCCUCCGGCCCCCUUGCCCUUGGCGGCCUUGGCUGGCGUUUCUUUUUCGGGGACGGGACGGAGAUGGCGAGCGUGGAGACAGACCUGCUUCAGUGCCCACGAAGCUUCCCCCCCUGCAGGUGGGGGAAGAGCGGAGGCGGGGCUCGAACCUGCUUCCUCGCAGGCCGUGUUCUUCCUCUCGCGUCGGGGGCCUCCUCGGCGGCUGUUGCUUUUCCCUGCCGCAGAAAUUUCGAAUCAUCUGUCCAGGAUAGCAGGGAAGAGAGAUGACGGUAGAGGAAGAGAGGAGAGAGACAGCAGCCUGCUCCUCGGCCUGCCAAGCUGCUUUCCCUGAGAGCACACCCAUGUUGCCCAUGUCGCAUCCGGGGCAUGGAAUCCUGACCCUGAACAAGUAAUGUAUCCACUUCACUGGCCGAGCCACUUGUUGGUCCCCUUAAUGGCUUUAUUUCUACAUGUGUUUUCUGGAGUUAGUGAUGCAGUUACUUAUCCAGCUAAUAUAUUUUUUUUAAGUUUAUUUAUUUAUUCCCUUUUGUUGCCUUUGUUGUUCUUCAUUGUUGUAGUUAUUAUUGUUGUCAUUGUUAGAUAGGACCAAGAGAAAUGGAGAGAGGAGGGGAAGACAGAAGGGGGAGAGAAAGACACCUGCAGACCUGCUUCACUGCUUGCGAAGCGACUCCCCUGCAGGUGGGGAACCGGGGGCUCGAACCGGGAUCCUUCGCCGGGCCUUGUGCUUCCAGCUAAUAUUUUAAAGAAAUUUUCCUGGGAGUCGGGUGGUAGAGUGGCGGGUUAAGCCCACGUGGCACAAAGUGCAAGGACAGGUAAAAGGAUCCUGAUUCGAGCCUCCAGCUCUCCACCUGCAGGGGAGUCGCUUCACAGGUAGUGAAGCAGGUCUGCAGGUGUCUAGCUCUCCCCCUCUCUGUCUUCCCCUCUCCAUUUCUCUGUCCUAUCCAACAACGACAUCAGUAACAACAACAACUACGACAGCAAUAACAAGGGCAACAAAAGGGAAAUAUAACUAUUAAAAAAUUAAAAAAUUUUCCUUUUUUAAAUGAUGAUGGAUUAUCAAGGUUUUUUUUUUUUUUUAGAUUCCCUUUUGUCGCUCUUGUUGUUUUAUUACUGUUGUUCUUGAUGUUGUCUUUGUUGGAUAGGACAUAGAGGAGGGGAAGGCAGAAGAGGAGAGAAAGAUAGACAUCUGAAGACCUCCUUCACCUCCUGUGAAGCAACUCCCCUGCAGGUGGGGAGCCAGGGCUUGAAGGGGAUCCUUCCUCCAGUCCUUGCGCUUUGCGCCAUGUGUGCUUAACCCAUUGUGCUACCACCUGACUCCCUAAGAGAAAGUUCUGAUACCAUGAACCAUCGUCCUAAAAUCCCUCAGCAGUCCAACAUGUCUAUAUGACAGAUCAUCCAUUGUAUGUCACAGCUAUAUGGCUUCAAUCUGUGAUGUUAAGAGAGUGAGCAUUUUACUUUGUUUCAUUAUUUAUUUGAAAUGGACUAAGUAAUCUCCAAACACUUUCCCUAAAGUAUGACUUUCCUGUCAGUAUUACACCUAUUAUUCAAUAUAUCAGCUUCAUUAUCUAGACCUAUCUUCUGGGAGUCCUUUAUUCUCUUACUCCAGUGUGGACUAUUUAUUUACUUAUUUUAUUUACUUCCUCCAGGGUCAUCACUGGGACUCAGUACUCCACUCCACUGCUCCCAGCAGCCAGUCUUUCCAUUUCAUCUGAUGGGACAGAGAGAAAUUGAGAGAGGAGGGAGAUAAGAGAGGAAGAGGAGAGACACCUGCAGCCCUGCUUCACUGCUUAUGCAGUGAUCACCCCUGGAAGUGGGACGAGCCAGCCUGAGGCUCCAGCCCAGCUCCUCGCCUAGAUCCUUGUGCUUAUUACUAUGUGUGCUAACUGGGUGCGCCAGGGCCUGGCCCCUGGACUAGGUGAUGUGGCAGUGCUUCUGGGAUGUCCUUUCGUUGAUAUCCCGCAAAUCUCUUUUGUCUUUUAUUGGAACCAUUGUUUCCAGUCACAUGUAAGAUUUUCUUUUUGCUCCUACUUGUAUGACUUUGAAGGGGGGAUUAACUUUCCAGACUUGCAGCUCUAAACACUUUUAUUAUUUAUCAAAAUAAUAAAUAAUUGCAGCUCUAAACACUUAUUAUUUAUUAUUUUUAUCAUUUAUUAAUCCUUUCAGUGUAUUUUGGGUGGAUUUCAAAUUCUGCAUUGACACUAACUUUGCCUCUCACUUUGACUGCAAGUCUACAUUGCAUUAUAGCUUCAAAUGAGAAAUUUAUAGGAUUUUAACUCCUUUGAAUAUGCUCUUUAUUUAUCUUCCUUUGAAAUCUUUUGCACUUUGUUCUUUGUCCCUAGUCACCUGGAAAAGGUUUUCUUUUUUUACCAUUUGAGUCUUGCUAGGUGUGUACUCCUUUUGUGAACACUCACAAUCCUAAAGAUUAUUGUGCUUCUUUGAAUUUUUUCUUUACUUGUUUAAAAAGAACUAGUGAUUUGGAAACUUCUAGGAAUCACACUUUACCUCUGAUCUUCAGAUGCCCUUUUUUUCUCCCAUAUUUUAUAUUUCAAUUUGUUUAGCCUUUUGUUUGUAGUUUUUUUUUGUUUUUGAUAAAGUAUCUCACUUUUUAUCUUCUGUCUCAACUUUUGAGUUUUAAAUGUUUCCACGAUUUAUUUCCAGGUAUUCCUUUUUGCAUAACUCUUCCAGAAUAUGCCUUUAUUUCUCUCUUUUGAAAAAUGGUAUUUUCUUUUUCUUGCAUAGGCUCAAUAUUUUUAUCUUGGAAUACAUAAAAUAUAUGUUUGUUUUUUAAAUAGCUGAUAUCUUAGGUUUUCUUUUCACAUUACUUUUGCUUCAAUUUUAUUAUUUUUUCUGCAAUUUGGUUAUCUUUUUUUGCAUUGGCUGUAGUCUUUUUCCAAAUACAUUCUUUGUAUUCGUAAAAUUGGCCAGCUCAUGUUUUGAAGAAAAAAAUAGUUGAAGAUUCUUUUGAGUAUGACUUGAUGGUUUCCUUAUGGUGCUAUUUCACUGAGGGAAAAUACAUUAAAAUUAUGUAUAUUACAUAAAUAAAUAUAUAUAACCUGAAAAACCUUAAAAAACCAAAUGCAAUGGUCCAAGGUAAACAUCAGAUGAGGCUAUUCCUAGAAAUACUGGUAUUUCAAUAGUUUUGACUAGAUAGUAGGCUUUUUUUUAAUUUAGUGAAAUGUUUUGUAUUUGAAUUUUCAAUUUUUGUUUAACCUGAUAUUAUCAUCUUUUAAUUCUGAAUAAAAGCAGUUUUAUAACCAGGUGUUGUUCCCUAAGCUGUGAAUCAGAUAUUAGUGUUUGUGUCAUCUUUGCUUAGAUCUUUUUUUCAUGACAUCUCUGUCUCUUUCCAGGACGAGUACGGCAAAGCAUUCCCUUGUACGUAGCCAUACCAUCUUUGCACUGUUCUCCAUCUUAGUCUCCUUCUUGCUGUGUUGAUGUAGGAACAAAUCAGGAAAGCAAAGUACAUGCAGCCCCUCUACAGAGCACAACAUAUUAUCUAGAGGCUUUCUGUCAUAAAGCAGAAAAAAUUUUUCCCCUACAUUGGCCAUAGUUAAUAGCCCUACCACCUAGUCACCUAAUGUUCUAAGUAAGAGCUAAAGCAAACACGUGCACACACACACACACACACACACACUCUCUCUCUCUCUCUCCCUUUCUCUCUCCCUCUCUCUCUCUCUCUCUCUCUCUCACUCUCUGAGGUUGAUGAUUCUUUGUGAAAAACUAAGAACACAAAGCCAAUGCUUCAAGGUUUAUGUCCUGAGUCAGAAUUUUCUUUGAUUCUUAGGAAACUUGUCUGUGCUUUGAAUCCCUGAGAACUUGAUGUAUAAAAAGUGACUGCUUUUUAAUUUUUCCCUAAUAUAGCUAAUUCUUAAUUACUGUGUCAUGUUUGCAAUAUAUCUUAAAAUAUAAAGCAUGCUAUUGUAUAUAUAAAAUACUAAUAGCUUGCAAGUUCCAACCCUAAGAAGUGGUCUGGGGUUUGACACAGUGGAUAAAGCAUUGGAUUCUCAAGCAUGAGAUCCAGAGACUGAUUCCUGCCAGCACAUGCGCCAGAAUGAUGUCUGGUUCUUUCUCUCUCUCUCCUUCUGUCUUUCUUACUAAUAAAAUAAAAUAAAAUGGUUUUUUUCUUUUGUCAAAAGAGACUGAGGCACUCAAAUAAAAUAAAGUAAAUUUAUUUGUAGGAAAAUCCUCAUAUCCUAUUUGUGACUACUGAAAAUUCUUCUGAACACAAUGAAGAGAAUUGAAGAACUGCUUAUACGUAGAAUUUUAUUUCAGCAAACCUUUCUUUAAUCAUCUGAUUAAAAAACAAAUAGAUGUCCUAAGUAUUUCUGUUAAUGAUUCAAAAUUAAGUGUAAAAUUAGUAAAAAAUAACUGGAAAAAGUCAUUUCACCAUGUAAGCAAAUGAGCUUCCAAUAAUUUUAAUCCUAAGGCAUAACAAUAUUAUUUUGAAAGUGAAUGAUUAGUAAUUAAUAUGAAGGUCAUAAUACAGAUAACAGAUUAUACUGCACUUUAGUAUAAACAUCCACUAUUUCUGUGAAUGUUUGGUAUUCCAAAAUAAGCUGUACUGAACAACACUUUUAGAAUCUAACAAAAAUCAAACAAUCUGUGUGUAAAAAUUUGAAAGUAUUAUCACAGGCAUGAAAAUACAAAGUAAAUGCUUCAUAAGCAAAAGCUGCCAAAGUAAAGAA